rnacentral:rRNA from 1 species
ACACGUAUGCCUAGCCGUAAAUACCGAUAGAACUAUACAUCAUCUAUCCGCCUGGCAACUACGAGCACCAGCUUGAAACCCAAAGGACUUGGCGGUUCUUUAGAUCCGUCUAGAGGAGCCUGUUCUAUAACCGAUAAACCCCGUUCAACCUCACCCUCCCUAGUCUCUUCCGCCUAUAUACCGCCGUCGUAAGCUUACCCUGUGAAGGCCUAAUAGUUAGCAAAAUUGGCACAGCCCAGAACGUCAGGUCGAGGUGUAGCGUAUGAGAGGGGAAGAAAUGGGCUACAUUCGCUAAUACAGCGAAUACGAACGAUGCACUGAAAACAUGCACCCGAAGGAGGAUUUAGCAGUAAGUGGGAAAUAGAGUGUUCCACUGAAAUUCGGCUCUGAAGUGCGCACACACCGCCCGUCACUCUCCCCAAGCAACCUAAUGCACUUAAAUAAAACACUACCAACCGCAAAGGGGAGGAAAGUCGUAACAUGGUAAGUGUACUGGA